rnacentral:misc_RNA from 1 species
AAGUCGUAACAAGGUCACCGUAGGUGAACCUGCGGAAGGAUCAUUAACACGUUAUCCACGUAUCAACCAAUCGAGAACUUGUUUUCACGUCUCCCUUUGCAAUUUGAAUGAAUUGGAACCAGUUUGAGGGAAUUGAUGUGGAUUGCAUUCAUUUGCAAUCGGCCUUCCUGGUAUACUUAUGAGCUAUUGAAAAAUAGUUUGUUAACAAUUGUAUCUUAUUGCUGAAAGGCCAAAUUUCUUUCGAUAUUUUGAUCUCCAUCAUGAUCAAUAAAGUAUUGAAGGAGAAAACCUUAUAAAACUAUUUUCACCACCUUUUUGCUAGUUGACUUUUUAUAUGUGAUUGUUUUGCUUAAUUGCAAUGUAGUCGCACGUUUAAUUACUUGAACGUUAAAAAAUACAACUCUUAGCAAUGGAUAUCUUGGUUCUC